GUUGUUUUGCUUGUUAGCUGUCAGUCAGUCUGCAUGUUUGCAGCACAGAAAGAUGUUAUAAGGUACCCAUUGGAAUUCGCUUGAAUUUUAUACAUGCCAAUGAAAGGAUUAAAUCGGAGUACCAUUUAAGGACUAGUCCAAUGUCUUGCUCGUGGCUUUAGCUGCACAAAUAUAUAUUUUGUUAUUGUUUCCUGUGUUAAUUUGCAUUAAGGUAGACGACAGGCGACAGUAGCCAAAUCGAACGAGUGCAAUUCAAAUGAAUCACAGUGUGCAGUGUUCAUCUGUAGAGGGUGUUAAUUACCGCAAUUGCUUCGGUAACUGAGUCAAGAGGAUGGAAGCCCUAAUGUCCGCGUCCUUCAGAGAAGAAUUGGCCCCGACUGUGGAGCAGGCCGUGAAAAUGGCGGUGGACACGGUGGUUUAUGAGUUAGCCAAACUUAUGCAUGGCAAGCUGGCAGAUUUUCAGAAGGACGCGGCAGCCAAGCAGAGGGAAAAUUUGAACUUGAGGUUGCGACUGGACGCAUCUGAGCGUGAGCUCAAAGCCAUGCGCAAGUACAUGGACCUGGCAUACCAUAAGAUGGCCAAAUCCAGUGCAAGUGCACAACAAAAACCUGUCUCUGAUGAUCCCUUCCUCGGCCACUUUCUCGGGAAGCUGGAUGGAACCUCUGAGCUGCUGUUUCCACUUCGACCCAAAGAGGAGGUGCAGUCUAACAUCGAGGGAUGCCCAGAUUUUGCUGGAAAUGGCAAUGGAAGCAACUGUCCGAAGUCUGGUUCUGCUCUGGGGAAUAUAGACAUUCUGGAGGGUCGAUCGGAUCUCAGUGUCCUGAACGACGCGGCUGAUGUGACAGCUUUAUUUCAAGAAAAUGCAAACAAAGCGAACAGUGAACUGCACGUUUCUUUCCACGAUCGAGUUGGACUGGAUGAGCCAGGUGUACUUUCUUGGAACCAAACUGAGAAAGAGGUUGAAGAUAAAACAGCUUUUAAACAAUUUGACCAGAGGCCCAAGAGAGUUCCAGUCAAAGGGAUGAAUGUGGAGGCACUUAAUUAUGCUCAGGAUGUCUCUGAACUUGGUCCUGUGCACAUCAAGGAGGAGGACAGUGAGCUGGACUCUGAAGGCGAUCUGGACUCUGUGCUUGUCAAAGAGCAUCCUAAUUUGGAAUCCCUGAACAUUGAAUGGGAUGACACUGAUGACAGCAAUGGGACUCCAGAAGGUGUGGGACUUCAAUCAAGCAACAACCAAUUAUGUCCUCCACCAUUAGCCUGUGGAAGUACUGCUACAGAAAAAGAGGGAACCGUACAGGGGGCUUCUCAAGUAAGCUCCCAUCUUCCUAGGCUGUCUUCUUCAGAGGGUGUAAAAGCCUUGAUAACUGAUCAUGUCCCGCUUUCUCCUGCUGAGAUGUACCAUGCAGAUGGAAAAGAAAAACAGUCUUUCAUUAACUCGAAGGGCACAGUCUCUAUGAAUAGUGAUGCUUGUUUGGAGGGCAGUUCCAAUCUGAAAGUAUUACAUCACUGCAGUGACUGUGGAAAGAGCUUUACCCGGGUCAGCACCCUCAAGACCCAUCAGUUAAUACACUCUGGAGAAAAUCCUUUCCAGUGCUUGGAUUGUGGAAAGAUGUUCAGAGAAUCUGGCAAACUAAGGAAGCACCUGCUCAGCCACUCUAAAGAACUCUCCGAGUCCCCGCAUGGGUAUGGGGAAACUUUUAUAGCUGCUGUAGGUCUUCAGCAACAUUUCCCAUCUGCAGAUCCAAGCUUGAAUGCAAGUAUGGAGAACAGUAAGAAAGAAGAAGUUAAAGAGCCAAAAUCACACAAAGUGGCAUUAAGUGUGUGUCAUUGUAAUCAGUGUGGUAAGCGAUUCACUCGAACCAGCACCCUUAAAAUACACCAACUAAUUCACACAGGAGAGACACCAUAUCGCUGUAAUGUAUGUGGACGAGGGUUCCGGGAAUCGGGAAAGCUGAAGAGACACCAACAGGUUCACAGUGUCGACACGCCUUAUCACUGUGUUAAAUGUGGUAAGAAUUUCAGACUCUUGGGCACAUUUGAACAACACCAACUUAUGCAUUCUGGGCAGAGCCCAUACAUAUGCACUGACUGUGGUAAAAAAUUCAGUCGACUGAGCAACCUCAAGUCUCAUCAACGUAUUCAUACAGGAGUGACCCCGUUCCGAUGCUCUGAAUGUGGCAAGGGCUUCACUUUGCUUCCAAGUCUCAGGAGACACCUGCGCAUACACACAAAUGAAGCACCUUUUCAAUGCACCGAAUGUGGCAAGAGCUUUAGACAUCCAGAAACGCUUAAGUCACAUCUGCGUAUUCACACUGGAGAAACACCAUACUGUUGCUCAGAUUGUGGAAAGAGAUUCAGUUGCUUGCAGAACCUUAAAAGGCACCAACGGAUUCAUAUGGGAGUGGCUCCCUAUAAGUGCAAUGAUUGUGGGAAGUGUUUCCGUCACUCUGAUACUCUGAAAUCUCACCGUAGAAUCCACACAGGAGAAACCCCAUAUCACUGCACUUCCUGUAGCAAACGCUUCAGGAGACUUGAUGCUCUGAAAAAACAUCAGAGAAUCCACAUUAGGGACCUGGCAACCACUGUGAAAACAGAGUAAAAUUCAUUGGUGAAGUUUAUGUAACUAAGGCCUGCUAAGUUUGCUUUAGGUUUAAAACAGAUGGCUCAUUGUACAGUACAUCAUCUCAGCUGCCAGGUUGCCACACACUAUAUAUUGGUGGCAAAACCAACCACUCAUCUCAAAUGUUGAUACUUUAAUAUUAUAGUAUUUGGUUUUUUUAUGGGUUUUUUUGUUUUUUUUUUAAACAACAUCUUCUCAGACAAUUCUGUGUAGUAGAGGAGGUGUGAUUGUGUAUUAAGUGAUCCAUACUUAAAGUGGUAUUAGAAAUCAUUGAACACUAUCUUACAUCUGAGAUCAUUUCAUGAUUUUAGAUGAGGGCAAGAUGUACAAAAACAAAAUAUUAUAACCUUUAAAAUUAAUUACUGUGUUAAACCUACCAUCAAAGUACCAUUGUUUAUACAGUAGCUGUGACUAUGGUGUAUACCCUUUCUAGCUUGUAAAUAUUUUGGUAGUUAAAUAUAAAGUUUAUGUGUAGUAAGUGGAGACCAUACGGGGAAGUUAAUGGGCAGUUAUUAAUAUUAUAUCUUUUGCCUGUUAUGCAGCAGGAGCCAUUUUCUUUCUUAUUGCUGAGUUGUUAUAUCCAAGCCCCUUCCACACAGAUGCAUGCCUACUGUACCAGUACUUUGCAUGCUAGUGAAAUGGUCACUAAAAUGACAAGUAUCUGUAGUUUUAUUUUUUGAGGCAGAAUAUUUGUUACUGUUUUUUCUCCUAUGUGCCAGUUUGGGAUCCAUUUUAUUUUUGUGACCAACAGUGGUAAUUCAGAGCCAAAAGAAACAAAAGUGUGAUUAAUAUAUAAUAGAAAAGUAGAUUUAUGUUGGAAAGGGUUUGCCUUGCCUUACUGGGAAAGGCAAAAUUGGUUAAUUGGAUAAAGUGUACAUAGGACAGAAAGUGCUUAGUAAGUAAAUGCUAAAUUUUAAAAAGAUGAGGAAGAAAGUCUAAUGUUUCAUCAUACCUGCUGAGAAAGAUUCUUUAAGGGAUGCUAAAUAAAGAAAAACUCUUAGUGAUGAGAUCUUAUUUCAUGCAGUGGCAUUUGGAAAGAAUUGGGUAACAAACAAUCAUACAUCCAUCCAUCAUCCAACCUGCUAUAUCCUAACUACAGGGUCACGGGGGUCUGCUGGAGCCAAUCCCAGCCAACACAGGGUGCAAGGCAGGAAACAAACCCCGGGCAGGGCGCCAGCUCACCGCAGGGCACACACACACCAAGCACACACUAGGGACAAUUUAGGAUCACCAAUGCACCUAACCUGCAUGUCUUUGGACUGUGGGAGGAAACCCACGCAGACACGGGGAGAACAUGCAAACUCCACACAGGGAGGACCCAGGAAUCGAACCCAGGUCUCCUAAAUGCGAGGCAGCAGCGCUACCCACUGCGCCACCGUGCCGCCCUAACAACCAUACAGUUUGGUCUUAAAAGGAAAAUUACUUCAAAGACCCUCAUAAUUGUUUUCUUGCCUUAAUUAUUUUUAUGGACCAGAGAUGUUUGCGGUUUUCAUCCAUCCCUUUUUAUUCUUUCUUAAAAUUCCUUACAUUAGAGGAACGCUUUGUGCUGCUUUGGCAGUUAUGAAUGGAAGGUUGAAUAGAAGUUUAGACAAAGUCUGUCACAAUCACUCAUACUGGGCCAAUUUAGAGUCACCAAUCAACUAACUGCUCCGUCUUUGGUAUUUUAUGUUAUAUACUGUAAUUACCUGGGAAAAGAAAACAAUGCAGACAUAAGCAAAAGGUGUAAACUUUAAACAGACAUUGACUGGGCCCAUGCUCAAACCCAGGUACCUGUAAUUAUAAGGCAACUCUGCUUACUACUUUACAGUUAUCUUUUAGUAAAGUUCUUCUGCAAUGAUUGUGAAAUGAGCCUCAAGUCUCCACUAAUACAAUUGGGUGGUCCCCAAAAACAUGCAAUGAAAAGAAUGCACUUUAAAAAUGUAUAGCAAAGUACAGUCAUGCUGCGCUGACACCAUGCUGAAUCUGGAGCACUUCAGUGUU